rnacentral:lncRNA from 1 species
AGUUGUCAUGGUUUUGUAACUUCGCUAUUGGUAUUCCACAUCAUAACAUCAUGGACAAAAGAGAAGAACUACGUAUCCCAGAGGACCUCACGGUCAGAGAAGGAAGACACAUCACGGAAGAUACGUCAUCUGGUUGCGCGCGGUGCUUCUUCACUUUCGCUUGCUGCCGGGAGAGGAGUGGGUGUGCUUUCCAAGCCGGGCGCCUUCAUCAAGGUUUUCAAGGGAUACUGAUGCACACGAAACAUGAGGGAACGGUCUAAAAACUACUCUUGACAUCUGGCUAUGGCAUGAGAAGUUGUAUCACUGUCUACUUCAGUAGGCCACCUGUUCAAGCUGUAUCUGCCUUGCAUGCCCUUUGGCCAGUGAGAAAGAACUACCAAUGCAAAUGUUUUCCCUGCAGUGCAGGAGGAGCUGUGAAGAUGAAAGAAGCACAUUCUUUCCUCACAGUGGAAAUGCAUUAAUAAACCUUCACAAUGGAUGAACAGCAGCAGUGAGGUAACAACAACAACAAAACUUUCUGGAGCAAGUCCAGGAGUUAAGGUCAAGAUAAAGAAGCAGCAUUAUGAAAGUUUGUGACACUGCUGAGAGAUCAUGCUGGGAAGGAAUGCCAGCAGGUCAUAGGGACUUCCAGGAGCACUGGGAGAAGAUAGAAGCCUGGGAAGAAUCAGCAGAGGGUUUUAGAUGCUGAACUGCAGACUGAAAGUGGACAUCCUGGAGUGUAUAGUUCAGAAGUCUGUUGGACAGUUUUGAGGCAACUGUUAACAAUGAAGCUUUUUGUCUCCUACUUUUCCUACAUCCACAACAGCAUUUUGUUUCUGUAGGAAAAACCUAGGUAAACUUUGCUACCCAGUCAUACUUAUCUGAGCAUAACUUGUCAAUUAGGACAGCUCUGAUAUAUAGCUAUUUAGUGAUUUUGAAUAUAGGUUGCUGUACCUCUCCCUGAGUUGGCCACUAGGAAGCAUAACGAGCCUACAGGGCAUGUUAGUGGUAAUUUAAAGCUGUUGCAGAACACUGUGAAGAGGCUGAGCUCUGGAAGGCUGGAACCAAGCUCACUGUAACCAAGGUCCACUCGUGCUCAUUGUCUGAGCCUAUUCCUGGGACUGUACUGACCCCUAGUGACUACAACUCUAAUUAAAUAAUUUCCAAAGCCUCUGUAUAAUUAUUAUUUUUACACAAAGUAUUGCUGUACAAAGGAGCUUUCAUUAAAAGGUGUCUCCAUUAGGAGGACAUUAUUAAAAUACUUUUUAAGCAAUGUCUACAGGAAGGGAAAUUUUGCUGUUUUUAUUUUACAAUAACCCAUUAUUUUUUUUCUCAUGUGUGUGCUGACUUAAGACAUACUUUGAUAUAUUAAUAAAUGAACAGCUUAUUUAAAAUACCACUGCUGCUAAGAUCCUGGGAGUCAGUGAUUUUAAU